rnacentral:rRNA from 1 species
UACGGAGGAUGUGAGCGUUAUCCGGAUUUAUUGGGUUUAAAGGGUGCGCAGGCGGCACGGCAAGCCGGCGGUCAAAUCGCGGGGCUCAACCCCGCCCAGCCGUCGGAACUGCCGGGCUAGAGUGGGCGAGAAGUGCGCGGAAUGCGUGGUGUAGCGGUGAAAUGCAUAGAUAUCACGCAGAACUCCGAUUGCGAAGGCAGCGCACCGGCGCCCUACUGACGCUCAGGCACGAAAGCGUGGGUAUCGAACAGG